rnacentral:rRNA from 1 species
AGCGGCGGACGGGUGAGUAAUGUCUGGGAAACUGCCUGAUGGAGGGGGAUAACUACUGGAAACGGUAGCUAAUACCGCAUAAUGUCGCAAGACCAAAGUGGGGGACCUUCGGGCCUCAUGCCAUCAGAUGUGCCCAGAUGGGAUUAGCUAGUAGGUGGGGUAACGGCUCACCUAGGCGACGAUCCCUAGCUGGUCUGAGAGGAUGACCAGCCACACUGGAACUGAGACACGGUCCAGACUCCUACGGGAGGCAGCAGUGGGGAAUAUUGCACAAUGGGCGCAAGCCUGAUGCAGCCAUGCCGCGUGUGUGAAGAAGGCCUUCGGGUUGUAAAGCACUUUCAGCGGGGAGGAAGGCGUUAAGGUUAAUAACCUUGGCGAUUGACGUUACCCGCAAGAAGAAGCACCGGCUAACUCCGUGCCAGCAGCCGCGGUAAUACGGAGGGUGCAAGCGUUAAUCGGAAUUACUGGGCGUAAAGCGCACGCAGGCGGUCUGUCAAGUCGGAUGUGAAAUCCCCGGGCUCAACCUGGGAACUGCAUUCGAAACUGGCAGGCUAGAGUCUUGUAGAGGGGGGUAGAAUUCCAGGUGUAGCGGUGAAAUGCGUAGAGAUCUGGAGGAAUACCGGUGGCGAAGGCGGCCCCCUGGACAAAGACUGACGCUCAGGUGCGAAAGCGUGGGGAGCAAACAGGAUUAGAUACCCUGGUAGUCCACGCCGUAAACGAUGUCGAUUUGGAGGUUGUGCCCUUGAGGCGUGGCUUCCGGAGCUAACGCGUUAAAUCGACCGCCUGGGGAGUACGGCCGCAAGGUUAAAACUCAAAUGAAUUGACGGGGGCCCGCACAAGCGGUGGAGCAUGUGGUUUAAUUCGAUGCAACGCGAAGAACCUUACCUGGUCUUGACAUCCACAGAACUUUCCAGAGAUGGAUUGGUGCCUUCGGGAACUGUGAGACAGGUGCUGCAUGGCUGUCGUCAGCUCGUGUUGUGAAAUGUUGGGUUAAGUCCCGCAACGAGCGCAACCCUUAUCCUUUGUUGCCAGCGGUUAGGCCGGGAACUCAAAGGAGACUGCCAGUGAUAAACUGGAGGAAGGUGGGGAUGACGUCAAGUCAUCAUGGCCCUUACGACCAGGGCUACACACGUGCUACAAUGGCAUAUACAAAGAGAAGCGACCUCGCGAGAGCAAGCGGACCUCAUAAAGUAUGUCGUAGUCCGGAUUGGAGUCUGCAACUCGACUCCAUGAAGUCGGAAUCGCUAGUAAUCGUAGAUCAGAAUGCUACGGUGAAUACGUUCCCGGGCCUUGUACACACCGCCCGUCACACCAUGGGAGUGGGUUGCAAAAGAAGUAGGUAGCUUAACCUUCGGGAGGGCGCUUACCACUGUGGAUUCACCUC